rnacentral:rRNA from 1 species
GACGUAGGGGGCGAGCGUUGUCCGGAAUUACUGGGCGUAAAGAGCACGUAGGCGGGUAUGAAAGUCAGAUGUGAAAGACCAGGGCUCAACCCUGGGUUGGCAUUUGAAACUUUAUAUCUUGAGGGCAGGAGAGGAAAGCGGAAUUCCUGGUGUAGCGGUGAAAUGCGUAGAAAUCAGGAGGAACACCAGUGGCGAAGGCGGCUUUCUGGACUGGCCCUGACGCUGAGGUGCGAAAGCGUGGGGAG